AGUCUGGACCUUAGACCUGUUGCCACCAUUAAAGGACCAAACUGCGCAGAAGUCAGUCCCACGUCUGAACACAGUCUUCAAUUCCUAUGGAGAUUCCUUACUUUUGUUAUGUGUAGUCUGCAUUUGCAGAAGCGUGAUGACUAACAGGGUUACCAGAUUUAACAGAUAAAAAUAAAGGACGCCCAGGUGAAUAUGAAUUCCAAAUAAUUUUUUUAAAGUACAAACACUAAAAAUUACUAAAAUUUGUUUACCUGAAAUUUGUUAACCGGAUGUUCUGUAUUACAUCGGGCAAACUCUGCUCACUUCCUCUUUAAGAUGAUUUGUUAACUUCUUACAGAAAUCUCUAUGUGAGGCAAAAAGUAACUUCCCUGGACCAACAGCAAAUAAGGCUCAAGUCAGGAGGCCUUCUCCCAAACUUGGCCUUUAAAAAAAAAAAAAAAAAGACAACCCACCCAUUAGUCCCAGGAGCCUGCGCAUUAAAGCGAGCUGUGCAGCAGCUUUCCCGCCGGUUUUCUGCGAAAUGCAGCACAGUGGGUACCCGCAGGGUGGAGCGCAAAUGGCCGUGUCCUUGCGGGGUAGGAAAGGAGGUGCCGGAAACUUUGAACUCUGGCCAGAGUACAACGUGUCCACUUAGACGGCGACCCUGGGUGUCUGUUCUUCUGCAACUAUUAACUGGCAGGUAUGGAGAACUUCACAGAAAGUUAAGUACUGUGGCUAAUACCUCUGGGGUAGCACGCCAUUCAUUCUGCUCGGGUAAGGGCCUUCUGCUGGAGCCUGGUACUCUCUUUCAUCCUAAAAAGAACCCUUGCCAAGAGAAACCUUUACAGUAAGUGUGAAGGAGAUGCUGGCACAGAGCUCCAGCUGAGUUAGAGUCAAAGCCAGAGUGAGAGGGAAAUAAAAUGCCUGUGACAGAAACACAUUUUAUAGAAAAUGAUGCUGGUGGGUCAGCGGACAACACGGCGUGAUGGCUCAGUGCAAAGGUCAGGAAUGGCGAUUUGAUGGGAAAGGGCUUUGUUACAAAUGCCAUCUAAAUAAGCGCAUACGCAUGGAGGUUUUGCAACUACUGCUUAUCUAAUGAGAAGUUCUAGAAACUGCGACAGUGCGAGGUGGUGGAGUAGAGAAUAUAAAUUUUGGACUUGAAAUCCUGGUUUCGGUGCUCCUUGGGCAACUACUUAACCUGCCUGAACUUUUAUUUCUUCAUCUGCAGAGCCGGAUGAGGACUCUAGAAAUUCCACUCUGCUACACAACCACAAUGUACUAAAGAGAACAGUGGUUAAAACUGUAAAUUUCCAGAGUUUUGAAAAAGAUGAUUUUAACUAAAGGACUGCAACAAUCCAGGGAGUGUUUAUUCAAGAAAACCAGCUGACUCUCAGUAAGAACUGGGAGCUUCGUGGCAUUUUAAACUUAACCAGUUUCCGUACCCUCACUCCAGAUAUGUGGUAGCCCCGAACACCAACAGUCUCACAACCAGAAUAGCUCUGAGACCUAAAAGACUACCGGCCAGUGAAGGGGGCAGCAUGGGUUUGUAGCUCCCCAAAAAGCUGCAGCCCCAGAGCACUGCCACAGUUUGACCUGGUGGUUCCCUGGAAAGACCCCAGUCACAGGGCUUAUCUUAACUUGACCAGUUCUAUGUGAACAGUUCUAUCGCCACUGCAUUUGUUAAAAACAAUCGGCAAUAAAUGUUUAACAUCAUAGCUGUAUAAGGUCAUACCAGUGGAGGCUAACAAGAGACUGACCCAAAGUUUUAACUAAAAAAGUUUUAAAACUGGUGAAUGAGCUGUCUAUAGAGGGCACUGAAAAGCUCCAGCAUAUUACUGGAGACCUAGAAGUCCUUGCACAUGCCCUAAGAGAUGUGACUAGGCCUGCUCUCUGACUCUGGCUGACCAUAAGGCUCUGCAAAAGCAAGUAAAGGCUACGGUAGAGUUGUCCAUUACUUUCCAGAGCACUGAAUGUGUGCUCCGAGUUUGGUGAAAAACAUUUAACCUAUACAUACAGAAGUUCAAUGAACUCCAAGUAAGAUAAACUCAAAGAGAUCACAGGUAGACACAACAUAGUCAGCUUCUUGAAAGCAACAAGAGAAAGGUAAUUCCAUCACAAGGGAUCAUCAGCAAGUUUAAUGUCCCAACAGAAACCAUGCAGGCCAGGUGGUCGGAUGAUGUGUUUAAAGUGCCAAAAGAAAAAAACAAAAACAAAACCAAAAACCCUAUUAGCCAAGAACUUCAUAGCCAGUAAAACUGUUCUUCAAAAUAUAAGAGAAAUUAAGACAUUUCCAGGUAAACAGAAAAUUGUUCACAAACAGACCUGUUUUAUAUGAAAUACUAAAGAGAAUCCUUUAGACUGAAAUAAAAGGAUACUAGACAAUAACUUGAAUUCACAUGAAUAAAGACCAGU
rnacentral:lncRNA from 1 species